UUAACCUGUUGAUGCAAUUUCUUCACGUAUUCUACUUUUGCUUUACCGUCCUUGUUCAUCACCUGUUCCUGCGGCAAAGGCAACAUAUCUAGAGGCGUAAUAGGAUUAAAGCCAUAAACAACCUCAAAAGGUGACAUCUUAGUAGCAGAAUGUACAGCAUGGUUAUAAGCGAAUUCAACGUGUGGCAAACAAUCUUCCCAAGUUUUGAUGUUCUUUUUAAUGAUGGAACGAAGUAAAGUAGAUAAAACUCUGUUAACAACCUUAGUUUGCCCAUCAGUCUGGGGAUGACAAGUAGUAGAAAACAUAAGUUUCGUACCUAGUUUGCUCCAAAGAGUCCUGCAGAAAUGACUCAAAAACUUCACAUCCCUGUUAGAAACGAUCAACCUAGGAAUACCAUGUAAUCGUACAACAUCUUUAAAGAACAAGUUAGCCACAUUAACAGCAUCAUCAGUCUUAUGGCAUGAAAUGAAAUGUGCCAUCUUCGAGAACCUAUCAACCACAACAAAUAUACUAUCCCGACCUGUUCUAGUUCGAGGUAAUCCCAAAAUAAAGUCCAUUGAAAUAUCAGUCCAAGGGGAUUCAGGAAUAGGUAAAGGUAAGUACAUACCAUGUGGUGAAACCUUCGAUUUUGCUUUCUUACAUGUCACACAACGUUCACAGUAGCGUUCAACGUCCCGGCGCAUCUUAGGCCAGAAAAGAUGCUCUUUUAAAGUGCGUAACGUUUUAGUGACCCCAAAAUGACCCAUCAAUCCACCUUCAUGUGCUUCACGGAUCAGUAUAUCACGCAUUGAACCCUGUGGAAUGCAUAUCCUAUUUUCUUUGAAAAGAUAUCCAUCAUGCCUGUAGAAUUUUCCAUCUGCACCUUUCUCACAAGCAUUAUACUUAUCGCAAAAAUCAUGAUCAUCAGAGUAUAACUCUCGAAUAUAUGCAAAUCCAAUCAAAUGUGAAUCAAGAUAACUCAAUAGUACAUAUCUACAUGAUAAUGCAUCAGCAACGGCAUUAUCUUUCCCUUUUUUGUAUCGAAUGACAUAAGGAAAAGAUUCUAAGAAUUCAACCCAUUUAGCAUGUCGUUUGUUCAAUUUAUGCUGACCUGUGAUAUAUCGUAAAGCCUCGUGGUCAGUGUGGAUCACAAACUCCUUAGGCAACAAGUAAUGCUGCCAUGUCUCCAAUGUCCGAAUCAGUGCAUACAUCUCUUUAUCAUAAACCGGAUAAUUCAAUGUUGCUCCACUCAGUUUCUCGCUAAAAUAUGCAACGGGCCUCUUUUCCUGUAUUAAAACUGCGCCUAUACCAACUCCAGAAGCAUCACAUUCAAUUUCAAAAGUUUUAUCAAAGUCAGGUAAGGCUAACACUGGUGCUUUUGUCAAACAAUCCUUAAUUUUUAGAAAGGCAUCUUCUUGUUCUUUACCCCACAAGAAGCUGGAAUUCUUCUUAAUAAUUCCGGUUAAGGGUGCGGUAAUAGAACUGAAGUUAGGAACAAACCGUCGAUAAAAACUAGCUAAACCAUGAAAUGAUCUAACCUGAGUAAUCGAUGUUGGUCGUGGCCAUUCCUAAAUUGCCUUUAUUUUCUCAUGAUCAACUUCAACACCCUGUGCACUCACAAUAUAACCAAGAAAUGUAAGUCUGUCAGUACAAAACACACAUUUCUCUACGUUACCAUACAAUCUUUCUUCUCUCAAAGUCUGCAAUACAGCUCUCAGAUGUUCUACGUGAUCCUGCAAAGUCUUGCUAUAAACUGAAAUGUCAUCAAAGUACACAACACAAAACUUUCCAAUAAAAGAUCGCAGAACAUGAUUCAUUACUCGCAUAAAAGUACUAGGUGCAUUACUUAAACCAAAAGGCAUCACUAACCAUUUAUACAAACCUAGCUUUGUUUUGAAGGCUGUCUUCCAUUCGUCGCCUUCUCGCAUGCGAAGCUGAUGAUAUCCACUCUUCAAGUCAAUUUUGGAGAAGAUGACGGCUCCGCAAAGCUCGUCCAACAUGUCAUCAAGUCUAGGAAUAGGAUGACGAUACUUAAUUGUAAUUUGAUUCACAGCUCUACAAUCUACGCACAUCCUCCAAGACCCAUCUUUCUUCGGUACUAACAACACCGGAACAGCACAUGGACUCAGACUUUCUCGAAUAUAACCCUUGUCCAUCAAUUCUACAACUUGCCUUUGAAGCUCUUUCGUCUCUUCAGGGUUAGUACGAUAAGCUGGUCGAUUUGGAAUGGUAGCACCUGGAAUGAAAUCAAUCUGGUGCUCAAUGCCACGAAGAGGUGGUAAUCCCUUCGGUGUUUCUUUUGGAAACACAUCCUCAAACUCUUGCAAAAGGGACACAAUCGAUGCAGGCAAAUUAGCAGGGAACUCAGCCAAUAAACAAUGAUCUUUAAACAUUAAAAUAAACAAGGAUUGGUGAGAGGAAAGACAUUUCCUGAUUUCUCGACUGCUUGCAUAUACACUCAUCUUUUUCUUCUCCUUUGCAACUUCCUUACUCUUUUUCAAGCUUGUUUGAUCUUCAAUUACUUGAAUCGGUGUCAAAGGAGCCAAAGUAAUCUUCUUACCUGCAUGCAUAAAAGAGUAUCGAUUUGUAAAACCAUCAUGCAUUGCCCUCUUGUCAUACUGCCAAGGGCGCCCCAAAAGAAGGUGAGUAGCAUCCAUCGACACAACAUCACAAAGGACCUCGUCCUUGUAGUUUCCAAUUGAAAGCGGUACAACCACUUGUUUCGUCACUUUAAGUUCUCCACCGUCAUUCAACCACUGCAACUUGUACGGAUUCGGAUGCUUUGUCGUCUUAAGACCUAAUCUGUCAACCAUCACUGAACUAGCAACAUUAGUACAACUACCGCUAUCAAUAAUCACAACACAUACCUUAUCUUAAACCUUGUAUCGUGUGUGAAAGAUAGUCUCACGUUGUUGCUCAUCUUGCACCUGUUGCACAUUCAAACUACGUUUGACAACCAUGAUCUCCAUAACUUGACCAGAUUCAGCAACUUCUAGGUCAUUCUCUUCAUCUUCUUUAGUCGGGAGUUCAUGUACUUCUUCCUCAGAAUCUGACUCGAUCUCUCCAUCUUCUCGCAUCAACAUAACCCUCCGAUUAGGACACUGGCUAGCAAUAUGUCCUCUACCAAGGCACUUAAAGCACUGAAUAUCUCUUGAUCGUUCUGGUGCCACCAUUGGUUGUUGGCCACGUCCAUUAUCAGCAAUAGGAGGCUUUGGUUUGCUGGAUUCACCUGGCUCUCGAAUCCGUAAUGGCGGUUGUGGUGCUUGUUUCCUGGUAUUGUUAGGGGUAUAUAAAGGAUUCGAAAAAAGAUUUAAAUGGAGUAUUACCUCGAGUAGAAGCUUUUCUACGUUAUUGUCGCUCAAUUUUGAUCGCCAUAUGCACCAUGUCAUCCAACUCAACAUAAUGUUGCAUUUCAACAAUGUUUGCUAUUUCAGAAUUUAAACCUGCCAAAAACCGAGCCAUAGUCGCCUCACGGUCCUCAACUAUGUUUGCACGCAUCAUGGACAUCUCCAUCUCCUUGAAAUAGUCCUCAACGCUCUUGUUGCCCUGUUUCAAGGUUUGUAAUUUCUGAAAUAAAUCUUGAUGAUAGUGAGAAGGAACAAAUCGUCUCCGCAUGAUACGCUUCAUAUCUUCCCAUGUUCUCACUAGACCUUCACCUGUAUGUCGUCGACUAAUCAGUAAUUGGUCCCACCAUACUAGUGCAUAGUCAACAAACUCCAUAGCUGCUAGUCGAACUUUUUUCUGUUCUGAGUAGUUAUAACACUCAAAAACGUGUUCAACCUUGCUUUCCCACGUCAGAUAAGCAUCUGGAUCUGAACGUCCCUGAAAAGAAGGUAUGGCAACUUUAAUGUUAGAAAUAUUAUCGUCAACUGUGCGUCCUGGUCGUUGAUUCACCCUUGGUGAAUGUUCAAUGUCAUUUUCAUCAUUAUGUUCAUUAUGGACAGAUUGUGAACCACCCCCUUCAAUCUUGUCCAAACGAGAGUGUAUAGGCUCUAAUGCAUUUUCUAAUAGACGUUGCAAGGUGCGAGUAAUAGCUUGCAUUUGCAAAUCUGGUGGUUGAUCUCCACCACGACUACGAUCUUCUGUUCCUGUCAUCUAAAGCAACACACAAGAAUACAGAUAAUGAGUUAAGUUAAACAAAAGUAAAAGUCCUCACAGCACACUCUCAAAACCUCUCAGUUUUCACUCCAAAGAACUGUGCACUCAAAAAUAGCACUCAGCGCUCGUGUUUCACUCGGGAGAAUGAAUGAAUGACUCUUUUUGUCUCCCCUUCUGUUCUCACAACGCUCAAUGCCUUUUUCCCUCACAAUUUCUCGUUUUUUUAGUUCUUUAAAGGACUAAUCCAACAUUUCAGAACCUGUUAUAAUUGUGUUGGCUAUAAGGAAAAAACACACGGUUAGAGAGAAAAAAUAAAUAAACAAAGGGAAAGGAUAAGAAAAGAGUAAAAGGAUAAGAAAAUAAAAUAAACAAAGGGAAAGGAUGGAAUUUAAAUAAUUUAGUUUCUUACUGCAAAGAAGUGCUUUACAACGUUCCUAGCACCAAACAAAUAAGAAAAGUUCGUUUCGGUUGAUAUCCAAGCACUUCGCAAUUACAGAGUACAAAACUAAACAUUAUUCAACAUUUCAACAUAACAAAACACACUUUUUCUUUCCCAAACUUGAUGAAUUUCAAUUCCUCUUUUUUUUUGAAUCUAAUUUUUCUUUCUCUUUUUGUUUUUUGUUUUUUUGUUUUGAAAUUGCGAAACUGAUAUAUAUAUUUUUGUUUUGAAUUUCGAAAUUUUCUUGUUGGAGAAGAAAAGUACAAUAAUUCAAACACUAGGCUCGGAUACCAGAUGAUACGAUGUGCUUAUCAGCGCCUGACCCUGAGAUGUGGAUCAUCCAAGGCACAUUAGCAUGGUGUACUUCUCCUGUUCGAACCGAGGUUUGAAACCAAACUUCUCCUCAGGAGGAUAGAUGGGGCGAUUCAGGUGAGAUGCAAUGUAGAUCCAACUUUCUAUUCACUCGUGGGAUCUGGGCGGUCCGGGGGGGACCACCACGACUCCUCUCUUCUCGAUAAUCCAUACAUCCCUUAUCAGUGUAUGGACAGCUAUCUCUUGAGCACAGGUUUAGGUUCGGCCUCAAUGGGAAAAUAAAAUGGAGCACCUAACAACGUAUCUUCACAGACCAAGAACUACGAGAUUGCCCCUUUCAUUUUGGGGUGACGGAGGGAUCGUACCAUUUGAGCCUUUUUUUUCAUGCUUUUCCCGGAGGUCCGGAGAAAGCUGCAAUCAAUAGGAUUUUCCUAAUCCUCCCUUCCCGAAAGGAAGAACGUGAAAUUCUUUUUCCUUUCCGCAGGGACCAAAAGAUUGGAUCUAGCCGUAAGAAGAAUGCUUGGCUGAUAAAUAAUUCACUUCUUGGUCUUCGACCCCCUCAGUCACUACGAACGCCCCCGAUCAGUGCAAUGGGAUGUGUCUAAAUAUGAAUACACUACACCGGUUGCACAAAAAAAUGGGUUUUGCACCAAUGUAAGUAAAGUCUGAAAAAGGUUUUAUAAGAUUAAAAAGGUCCGUUGAGCGCCUCAUGGAUAUGUCAUAAUAGAUCCGAACACUUGCCCCGGAUCGACUUCCAGAUCAUAAUUGCUCUAGUGAAUAACUAAAGAAAAAAUAGAUAGAUAAAAAAUAGAUAGAUAGAUGAGAGAUAAAAGAGAAAGAAACUAAUUAUAAGCGUCUCUCAUAGGUUCACUAAUUACUGACUGUUGGCGGGUCUCUUUGUAUGUGUUGUCCGGAAAGAGGAGGACUCAAUGAUUAUUCGUUCGCCGGAACCAGAAGUAAAAAUUUUGGUAGAUAGGGAUCCCGUAAAAACUUCUUUCGAGGAAUGGGCUAGGCCGGGCCAUUUCUCAAGAACAAUAGCUAAGAGACCCGAUACUACCACUUGGAUCUGGAACCUACAUGCCGAUGCUCACGAUUUCGAUAGCCAUACCAGUGAUUUGGAGGAGAUCUCUCGCAAAAUAUUUAGUGCCCAUUUCGGCCAACUCUCCAUCAUCUUUCUUUGGCUGAGCGGCAUGUAUUUCCACGAUGCUCGUUUUUCCAAUUAUGAAGCAUGGCUCAACGAUCCUACUCACAUUGGACCUAGCGCCCAGGUGGUUUGGCCAAUAGUGGGCCAAGAAAUCUUGAAUGGCGAUGUGGGUGGGGGUUUCCGAGGAAUACAAAUAACCUCUAGUUUUUUCAGAUUUGGUGAGCAUCUGGAAUAACUAGUGAAUUACAACUCAAUUGUACCGCAAUCGGUGCAUUGGUCUUUGCGGCCUUAAUGCUUUUUUCCGGUUGAUUCCAUUAUCACAAAGCGGCCCCAAAAUUGGCUUGGUUCCAAGAUGUAGAAUCUAUGUUGAAUCACCAUUUAGCAGGGCUUCUGGGGCUUGGGUCCCUUUAUUGGGCGGGGCAUCAAGUACAUGUAUCUUUACCGAUAAACCAAUUUCUAAAUGCUGGAGUAGACCCUAAAGAGAUCCCACUUCCCCAUGAAUUUAUCUUGAACCGUGAUCUUUUGGCUCAACUUUAUUCCAGUUUUACCGAGGGAGCAACCCCAUUUUUUACCUUGAAUUGGUCAAAAUAUGCAGAAUUUCUUACUUUUCGUGGAGGAUUAGAUCCAGUGACUGGGGGUCUAUGGUUGACUGAUAUUGCACACCAUCAUUUAGCUAUUGCAAUUCUUUUCCUAAUAGCGGGUCACAUGUAUAAGACCAACUGGGGCAUUGGGCAUAGCCUAAAAGAUAUUUUAGAGGCUCAUAAAGGUCCAUUUACAGGCCAAGGGCAUAAAGGACUGUAUGAAAUCCUAACAACAUCAUGGCAUGCUCAAUUAUCUCUUAACUUAGCUAUGUUAGGCUCUUUAACCAUUGUUGUAGCUCACCAUAUGUAUUCCAUGCCCCCUUGUCCAUAUCUAGCUACUGACUAUGGUACACAACUGUCAUUGUUCACAUAUCACAUGUGGAUUGGUGGAUUUCUGAUAGUGGGUGCCGCUGCGCAUGCAGCCAUUUUUAUGGUAAGAGACUAUGAUCCAACUACUCUAUACAACGAUCUAUUAGAUCGUGUCCUUAGGCAUCGUGAUGCAAUCAUAUCACAUCUCAACUGGGUAUGUAUAUUUCUAGGCUUUCACAGUUUUGGUUUGUAUAUUCAUAAUGAUAUCAUGAGCGCUUUAGGGCGUCCACAAGAUAUGUUUUCAGAUACCGCUAUACAAUUACAACCCGUCUUCGGGAUCGAACAUCAAUUGCAACGAUUCGAUAAACGGCUCAUUAGGAUAGAUGUAGUUAAAUAAUACCCCCUAGAAACGUAUAAGAAGUUUUCUCGUCGUACGGCUCGAGAAAAAAAUGAUUAAUUAAAAGUUAUGUCUAUGUAUGGAAUUAGAAUGUAUGGAAUUAGAAUGUCAAAAAGACCCAUAAACCAGCAAAUCAAUUAGACAUUUAACACCAUCUUUUUUUUUCAAAAAAAGAAGAAGAAAAAAGCAUUCGUACUCUCAUAACUCAAGUCAAAUAACUCGCAAAAUGAUCAAAAAAUAAUCCUUAGGCAUUCCUUUAUUGAGUGGUCUCUGACCCCUUUUUGUUUGUCUCGCUUAGAAUCUAUUUCGAUUCUUCAUUUUAAUCUAGUUGUUGAGAAAAUGGAAAAGGGUAUUUCCUUGUUCUAGGAUCUUUUAUCUUUGCCUUAAAUCAUUGGGUUUAGACAUUCCUUCAGCGAUAUUUAAUCAUUUCCAAAAAGGCAGCAACAUGCCCUUUUUUCUCUCUUUUUUUUCUAUCAAAGAAUCAUAUGAACGAUUAAUUCCCGCAUGAUACACUUUUGAUCGAAAGAGUUUUACCAAUUCCAACAACUUUUCUUUUUGAUUUGAAAAUAGUUGGAAUCGGAUCCUUUCGAUUUCUAUAUCACAAAUAGACUUACGAAGUUGUUCCAACUUAUUGAUUUCCAUUAACUAACCCUAGAUCCUUGCCCCUGAAAAAUGGAUGUUUCUCUUCGAGCUCCAUCCUGUACUAUUUACAUUACAACCCAACAAAAAGACGGAUUAUAAUAGAACAAAGGAUGUCGAGCAAAAAGCACCUUCAUUUCUACAUAACGGAAAGUGGUGGGUUUUGACAUCCACAGCUGAUCAUGUCCUUCAAGUCGCACGUUGCUUUCUACCACAUCGUUUCAAACGAAGUUUUACCAUAACAUUCCUCUAGUUUGGAGCAUUGAUUCAAUUAUGGAAUCAUGAAUAGUCAUUGGUUCAGUCGAUACAUAGUAAUCUAUCUAUACUUUCUAUAUGAAAUCAAUUUCCUUCUAUAUGCUAUAUGAAAUAAAUAAAUAAUUUAGGAAGAAAAAGCCUCAAUAAGAAUUCAAACUACCCCAUAUUGUAUGAUUGUCUGAAUGUAAUAUUUUUUUAUUUUUUUAAACUUUUAUUAUACUUUUCUAUUCUAAUUAAACUUUUCGAUUCUAAUUAAAAAAAUAAAUAAAGAAUAUCAUUAAUAAUAAUAUUACGAAAAUACUAAUAAUAUCACGAAUAUUAUAAAUAACACAAAUAAACUAAUCUUUUUGAAUCUACCGUGCAUCUUCAAAUAACCCGAUAGAUCAAAUAACUCGGUAGAAUAGAUCCAACAAUCUCACAGUUGUUCGAGUGCCAAUCUUAAGAAAUCAUUAAAAAUCAAAAGCAAGAAUCCCAUUUUCUACAAUACUUGACUGUUAGAAAGAAUGUUAUUAAAAACAAAAAAAGAGCAAUUUAGAUUAGGAUAUGGUUAUUCUGAUAUAUAAAUAGAGUAUGCUCUGGGACGGAAGGAUUCGAACCUCCGCAUAGCAGGACCAAAACCCGUUGCCUUACCACUUGGCCACGCCCCAUUUUGAUUUCUAUUUGAAACUACUAAACACUAAAAUGGGUAUUCCUUGUUCGUCAAUUCCAGUUCCAAAUAGCUAUAGCUAUGGAAUAGAUUCUUGCUACGAUUUUUGCACGUAUGGAUAGAGAAUUAAAUCGAAUUUAUUGAUCAUUACAUAGAAUUCAAUUAAGAUAUUGUAUGAAAGUAUGAUUUCUUCUAUUCUCUUGUAAGAAUUGAAGGCUUUUUGAUUGGGUGAGUUCAAAGAAGUAUUGUUUAGUCUGCCUUAUUUUCCUUUCUUCAUUUUUUUCCUUAUAUCAAAAAACAUAUUAAUAACUCAAUCAAAAUUAUCUCCAAGAACAAAAUUUUGUUAUGCUUAAUAUCUUUAAUUUGAUCUGUAUCUGUUUUAAUUCUGCCCUUUUUUUGAGUAGUUUUUUAUUCGCCAAAUUGCCCGAGGCCUAUGCUUUUUUGAAUCCAAUCGUAGAUUUUAUGCCAGUAAUACCUGUUCUCUUUUUUCUCUUAGCCUUUGUUUGGCAAGCUGCUGUAAGUUUUCGAUAAGAUCCUUAAUACUGUCCUAGAAAAAUUCAUGAGUGAUUCAAGAAAAAAAAAGUCUAACAAUUGAAAAGAUCAUAUAAGUCUUACACUAUGAACGAACCCUCAGUUCAAAGAUUGAAAUUCUUGGAUAGCCCUGAUAAAUCUGGAUCAUCCCAUUUCCUCAUUCUGACCCUUUUCGCCGAAGAACCCUAUUUAGAUUAGAGUCCGCCACAAUAUAUAAUUGUUGGUAUGAAAGAAUUUUUUUUGUAAUGAAAAACUCAACUUUUAUUACAAGUGAAUUUCUGAAAAUUCUUUUCGAUUUCUAGAAAUUCUAGAAAUCACUUUAUUUCUUGGUGUCAAAAUCAAAACAAAAUAGGAUAUGUGGUAUAAAAACGGGGAAUCUAUUCUCUUCUUUUUCCAAAAAAAUGCUCUUGGAGAUUGUGUAAUGCUUACUAUUAAACUCUUUGUUUACACCGUAGUAAUAUUCUUUGUUUCUCUCUUCAUCUUCAGAUUUCUAUCUAAUGAUCUGGGACGUAAUCCUGGACGCGAAGAAUAAAAAAAGGGAGAGUUCCUUGCUUCAUUUUUAGAAAUGGUAUUAGGAUUUGAUCUAUUCCACUACCAAAAACCGAAACGAAAAGAGAGGGAUUCGAACCCUCGGUACGAAUAACUCACACAACGGAUUAGCAAUCCGACG
rnacentral:lncRNA from 1 species